rnacentral:rRNA from 1 species
GUAGACGCUAUACUCUAAGAUUAACCCAUGCAUGUUUAUUGAAUAUAAAGAAAAGACGAACAGCUCAGUAACUCUUAUUUAAUUUGAUGUAUUAGGAUUCUAACUAUGUUAAAUUAUAGGUAACAAUAAUACAAUAAGAAUAAGAUCUAUCAGUUAGUUGUUAAGGUAAUGGCUUAACAAGACUAUGACGGAUAACGGUAUUACUUUGUAAUAUUCCGGAGAAGGAGCCUGAGAGCUUGCUACUAAGUCUAAGGAUUGCAGCAGGGGCGAAACUUGACCUAUGAUAUUAUAUUGAGGCAGUUAUGAGUAGUAUUUUAUAAUUAUUGUAGUAUUGUAAGUACAUAUUACAAGAUAAAUCGGAGGGCAAAUCGAGUGCCAGCAGCCGCGGUAAUACUUGUUCCGAUAGUGUGUAUGAUGAUUGAUGCAGUUAAAAAGUCUGUAGUUUAUUUAUAAUAAGCAUUGUAAGGUAUACUGUAUGGUUAGGAGAGAGAUGAAAUGUGAUAACCCUAACUGGAUGAACAGAAGCGAAAGCUGUAUACUUAAAUGUAUUAUUAGAACAAGGACGUAAGCUAGAGGAUCGAAGAUGAUUAGAUACCAUUGUAGUUCUAGCAGUAAACUAUGUUGAAUCAUAGAUAUAUUUUGAUAUAUAUUUAUGUAGAGAAAUUAAGAUUAUAUUGACUCUGGGGAUAGUAUGAUCGCAAGAUUGAAAAUUAAAGAAAUUGACGGAAGAAUACCACAAGGAGUGGAUUGUGCGGCUUAAUUUGACUCAACGCGGGUAAUUUACCAGGUAUAACAUGGUAUAAUAUUUUAUCAUGAUAGUGGUGCAUGGCCGUUUCCAAUGGAUGCUGUGAAGUAAUGAUUAAUUUCAACAAGAUGUGAGACCCUCGUUUAGACAGAUGUAGUGAUACAUAUGAAGGAGAGGAUUAAAACAGGUCCGUUAUGCCCUAAGAUAAUCUGGGUUGCACGCGCAAUACAAUAAUAUUUGAUAUUAUGAGGGAUAAUAUAAUGUAAGAUAUAUUUGAACAUGGAAUUGCUAGUAAAUUUUAUUUAAUAAGUAGAAUUGAAUGAGUCCCUGUUCUUUGUACACACCGCCCGUCGCUAUCUAAGAUGGUAUUAUCUAUGAACAAAUUUAUAAAGUGAAUAGAUAGUACUAGAUCUGAUAU